rnacentral:rRNA from 1 species
ACGAACGCUGGCGGCGCGCCUAACCCAUGCCAGUCGAACGAGCGAGAGAGAGCUUGCUUUCUUGAGCGAGUGGCGAACGGGUGAGUAACGCGUGAGGAACCUGCCUCAAAGAGGGGGACAACAGUUGGAAACGACUGCUAAUACCGCAUAAGCCCACGGUGCCGCAUGGCACAGAGGGAAAAGGAGCAAUCCGCUUUGAGAUGGCCUCGCGUCCGAUUAGCUAGUUGGUGAGGUAACGGCCCACCAAGGCGACGAUCGGUAGCCGGACUGAGAGGUUGAACGGCCACAUUGGGACUGAGACACGGCCCAGACUCCUACGGGAGGCAGCAGUGGGGAAUAUUGCACAAUGGGGGAAACCCUGAUGCAGCGACGCCGCGUGGAGGAAGAAGGUCUUCGGAUUGUAAACUCCUGUUGUUGGGGAAGAUAAUGACGGUACCCAACAAGGAAGUGACGGCUAACUACGUG